GAUUUACUUCACUACAGUAUAUUGAAAGUGUUAAAUUAGAAAAAGAUUACUGUAGAUGGCUAGCUUAAAGCUAUACAGAAUCUAUAAUGAAAACAAUAGGCCUUUUCACACUGCAUUGUUCUAAACCCUGGGCAAUCUUAGCCCCAUGUGAACAUGCCUAAUGGCUCCAAUCCCUCCAUGGCUGGUUUGUUUCUUUAGAAAACAAUGACAGUUGAAUAGCUAACCACUACGCUAUGUGAACUACGCUAUGUAAAUCGAAAUCGAGAGCAAUCUGUUCAUUGUCGGUGCAGUUCAUCCAUCGCAAUAUAACCAUAAACACUUAUGUUCGUUGUCAGUUCAGUUCAUCCAUCGCAAUAUAACCAUAAAUAAACUGACUGUCAGGCAGGCAGGCACAUUCGCUGUUCUUGGCCAGCUCCGGUUAAGCGGUCUGGUAAAAAUAUGUAGUUCUGAGGUGCAAACAGAAUAGUAGUAUAUUCUACACAAACAGUGUUUGGUCGGUGCCGGAGCUCAGUAGAGCUGAGUAUUGGACCCUCAUAUUCUCCUGCCUGAGCAUUUUUUCAUUUUACAGACCAUUAGGUCAAAGCUAAUGUUGAGCCACGGCUGUAAACAGUAAAGGCUACCAGCCACCAGCACUGUAUUUCAGUGAGGCAUUGCAAAACAACGCUCAUUUAUAGUCAUUAAAAUGUGUAAAUUCCCAGGUCAUUCCAGAUGUAGGGUCUGGAGCAGCUGAAGAGCAAAGAUGAGCAACAGCUGAACAUCGAGAGGAGCACUGCACAGAGAUCCCUGCUGAUUAUGUGAAUCUGAAGGAGCUUCUGGAAGCUAGUCAGGAGGAUUGUGAGGAACUGAAAGAAAGAUUCAUGGAAGUUCUCUCAAGCCUGGACUUAGAGAGAAGUGAAAAUGCCAAGAAGCGAUCACAGCACAAAACCAAAAUGCAGCGAGCUAAACAGAUAUUCUUUAAGGAGACAGGAUGGCGUGAUGAGAAAAUAAGAAACCUUGAAAGAGACCUAGCUCUCGCCUUAACUUCAUCCACCCGGGAAAAAGAGAUGAUCGGGAACAUGAACAAGGAAAAUGAGAAAUUGUUGGCGGAAAAGAGGGAUCUGCUUGGAAGGCUAAAUGAUUUGGAGGAUAAAACUUACAACAGCGUCAUUUCUGCUACAGCCUCACAAUUCAGUGUGGAUUUCUUGGAGAAAGAAAAUAAGCACUUACAAGAAACUAUAGUGGAGAUGUCCCGUCUGAUACCUAGCGGAAAAGCAUUGCAACACGCUCUGAAGAAUCUCAAAAUAUCACGCAGCACUGAUGUACAGGAAUUGAAGAAUUUUUUUUCUUUUGACAGCCCAGUUGUAAUGCCUUGCAUUCAGGAAACCAGGAAAUUUCAGCCUGGCUCAUUGGAUGUGAGAGGCCUUCUAGACAUCAUUCAGAGGAGCAGGUCCAGUCACUCAGAGGAUUCCAUGUCUCCGCUCUCUACACUAACCAGGCAUCCUGUGGAGAUGGGCUAUCUGAACGUGACCCCGUCCACAGGAAUCUGCGACAAAAAUCUGAACCUGACCUCUGCUCUUACCAGGGCUGACCAUCAGAUCCUCUCAGACACCAAUUCGGACGUUGAGGAGGUUUGAGGACAUUCAGGCAGAGACAAUCAACCGAAGAACCUUCAUACAAUCUAUCGAAGUGAUUGUGUAUAUAAAAGUGACCGUAAAGUUAAACAAGGAGCACUAAAUGUAACUAAAAUGUAACUUUGCACACCAGUUCACUUUGUAAUUUGCAUUAUAGGUGAAAAUGAGGUUGUUCAUUAUGUACUGGAAUUAAAGUGCGGACUAGAUAUGUGCAUGUUGAGCGUGGAUGUAAUUGAGAGAGACUGUGUAUCCAUGGUGAGUGCGUGAGUGAGCUAGUGUAUGUUUUUCAUAGUAGAGAAUGCAAAAGGGCACCAAAGGUUGGACUAUCUGACAGGCCAGAUAGUCCAACAGUCUUAUUUAUGAUGCCAGUGUACUGUAUCUGUUGAAGUUAGUAGCAACGAGAACUGUCCAUGGCUUGGUUGGCUGAUGCCAGUGUACUGUAUCUGUUGAAGUUAGU
ensembl:lncRNA